AAGCCUAUAGAAGAAAUUGUUGACUAUACUUCUUCUUGUACUAGCUGGGAAACUGAUACUGACUAUACAGAUACUGAGAAAGAAGAGUCCAAUGUUCUCUUGGUACAGGAUACUGAUACUGAGAAAGUGGAGUCCAAUGGUCUCUUGGUACAUGAUACUGAUACUGAGAAAGUGGAGUCCAAUGUUCUCUUGGUACAGCCUCAUGAUACAGAAAAGGUGUUUCCUACUUCAAGCUCAGUAUCUGAUUGUACAAGCCUAUUAGAUGGAGGAAAGCCGCCUAUGGACCAAAGCGUAAGCUCACAAGGUGUCGACAAUAUUACUGCGUGAUCUAUUUUUUAUUUUAUCUUUGUUUAUGCACGCGUUCUCCGUUUUGCUCUAUGUUUUUCUUUUCUUCUCUCCCAAUUCUAUAUCGUGAUCUCAGUCGAAACCAUGAGUGAAGAUUUCUCCAGUAAGAUCUCUUUCUUCCAUAUGUCAUACAUGUAGACGUUCUUUUGUGGGAAAUGGACACUCCUGUGGACUAUCCUACAGAAUCCAAUAUUAUCCUCAUCUCUAACAACAUCGAAGGUGAUAUUGACUUCAUCCAGUGUCUUGUAUCUUCAGCUUCCGCAGGUUACAAUAAUCUCUUCGUAGAGACUACUGAGGCUGCUCCCGAGAACCUUGAAACCACAGGAUGGCCGACAUACAUAUUACAAGGAGGGAAGCCUAUCGGCCGAAUCCGCUAUAAUCCGCCUCGCGAUCUGUAGUUGUUUUCAUUGAGCGGAAGAAGAAACAUGAGGUAACAUAAGAGCAGAGCUGAUACUUUGAUUCGGUGCAUAUGCCUAUUUUGCUACUGGUGUCUAGAGCCGUGCUAAUUUUGAUGUCAUAGGCGAAAAAUAUGCUUUAAUAUUUUUAAAAAAUAUUA
rnacentral:sRNA from 1 species